rnacentral:rRNA from 1 species
CACGUAGGGUGCGAGCGUUGUCCGGAAUUAUUGGGCGUAAAGAGCUCGUAGGCGGUGUGUCGGUCGCGUCGGCCGUGAAAACCUGCAGCUUAACUGUGGGCUUGCGGUCGAUACGGGCAUCACUGGAGUUCGGCAGGGGGAGACUGGAAUUCCUGGUGUAGCGGUGAAAUGCGCAGAUAUCAGGAGGAACACCGGUGGCGAAGGCGGGUCUCUGGGCGUGAUCUGACGCUGAGGCGCGAAAGCGUGGGGAGCGAACAGG